rnacentral:rRNA from 1 species
AAUAGAUACCCCGGUAGUCCACGCCGUAAACGAUGAGUGCUAAGUGUUAGGGGGUUUCCGCCCCUUAGUGCUGCAACUAACGCAUUAAGCACUCCGCCUGGGGAGUACGGUCGCAAGACUGAAACUCAAAGGAAUUGACGGGGGCCCGCACAAGCGGUGGAGCAUGUGGUUUAAUUCGAAGCAACGCGAAGAACCUUACCAGGUCUUGACAUCCCGCUGACCGCUAUGGAGACAUAGCUUUCCCUUCGGGGUACAGUGGUGACAGGUGGUGCAUGGUUGUCGUCAGCUCGUGUCGUGAGAUGUUGGGUUAAGUCCCGCAACGAGCGCAACCCUUGUCCUUAGUUGCCAUCAUUCAGGUUGGGCACUCUAAGGAGACUGCCGUACAAAUACGGAGGAAGGUGGGGAUGACGUCAAAUCAUCAUGCCCCUUAUGACCUGGGCUACACACGUGCUACAAUGGACGGUACAAACGGUUGCGAAGUCGCGAGACGGAGCCAAUCCGAGAAAGCCGUUCUCAGUUCGGAUUGCAGGCUGCAACUCG